rnacentral:misc_RNA from 1 species
AGCUGAUUUAAUGCAAGAAUCAAAUCAAGAAGUACCUGCUUGGCUCUCUCGUUAUGCUGUUCGCUCUUCUUAUGGAGGGAGGAACCGUCGUUCUGGAGGAGGCAGAUUUGGUGGCCGUGACUUUCGAAGGGACUCUUCAUUCAGUAGGGGCAGUUCAGAUUAUUAUAGUGGAGCAAACAGCAGCGGUGGAUAUGGGGCUUCUGGCGGAUAUGGAGGAUAUGGUUCAGGGAUGACCAGUGCAUGGGAUUAAUGGCAGAACACCUUAAACAGCUUACAGUACUUGGUGCCUAGUGGUUGUGGACUGUCGUUGCUAUACUGGUGGGAGUUUCUUUUUUUUUUUC